GAUCCUGGCUCAGGAUGAACGCUGGCGGCGUGCUUAACACAUGCAAGUCGAACGAAGCACUUUAAUGGAUUUCUUCGGAAUGAAGUUCUUGUGACUGAGUGGCGGACGGGUGAGUAACACGUGGGUAAUCUGCCUGUAAGUUGGGGAUAACAGUUAGAAAUGACUGCUAAUACCGAAUGUGCUAGAAAUAGUAAAGGCGCUUCAAAGCGUCGCUUAUAGAUGAGCCUGCGGUGUAUUAGCUAGUUGGUGGGGUAAUGGCCUACCAAGGCAACGAUGCAUAGCCGGACUGAGAGGUUGAACGGCCACACUGGGACUGAGACACGGCCCAAACUCCUACGGGAGGCAGCAGUGGGGAAUAUUGCACAAUGGGCGAAAGCCUGAUGCAGCAACGCCGCGUGAAGGAUGAAGGUCUUCGGAUUGUAAACUUCUAUCAGCAGGGAAGAAUAAAUGACGGUACCUGACUAAGAAGCUCCGGCUAACUACGUG
rnacentral:rRNA from 1 species